rnacentral:rRNA from 1 species
CCUACGGGUGGCAGCAGUCGAGAAUCAUUCACAAUGGGGGAAACCCUGAUGGAGCGACGCCGCGUGGGGGAAUGAAGGUCUUCGGAUUGUAAACCCCUGUCAUGUGGGAGCAAAUUAAAAAGAUAGUACCACAAGAGGAAGAGACGGCUAACUCUGUGCCAGCAGCCGCGGUAAUACAGAGGUCUCAAGCGUUGUUCGGAAUCACUGGGCGUAAAGCGUGCGUAGGCUGUUUCGUAAGUCGUGGGUGAAAGGUGCGGGCUCAACCCGCGGACGGCACAUGAUACUGCGAGACUAGAGUAAUGGAGGGGGAACCGGAAUUCGCGGUGUAGCGGUGAAAUGCGUAGAUAUCGAGAGGAACACUCGUGGCGAAGGCGGGUUCCUGGACAUUAACUGACGCUGAGGCACGAAGGCCAGGGGAGCGAAAAGGAUUAGAUACCCUUGUAGUC